UGGUUGCUAGGUGGUUGCUAAGGUGUUACUAGGCGGUUGCUAAGGUGUUGCUAUGGUAUCCGGGGUGGUUGCUAAGGUGUUGCUAGGUGGUUGCUAGGUGGUUGCUAGGUGUUGCUAGGCGGUUGCUAAGGUGUUGCUAUGGUAUCCGGGGUGGUUGCUAAGGUGUUGCUAGGUGGUUGCUAAGGUGUUGCUAGGCGGUUGCUAAGGUGUUGCUAUGGUAUCUGUGGUGGUUGCUAAGGUGUUGCUAGGUGGUUGCUAGGCGGUUGCUAAGGUGUUGCUAUGGUAUCCGGGGUGGUUGCUAAGGUGUUGCUAGGUGGUUGCUACGGUGUUGCUAGGCGGUUGCUAAGGUGUUGCUAUGGUAUCCAGGGUGGUUGCUAAGGUGUUGCUAGGUGGUUGCUAGGUGGUUGCUAGGGUGUUGCUAGGCGGUUGCUAAGGUGUUGCUAUGGUAUCCGGGGUG